rnacentral:rRNA from 1 species
GCCAAUCAAGUUUAGUGAUAGCUGGUUCUCUGCGAAAAUUAUUUAAGUAAUGUAAGAGUGAUUGUUAUUUUAAGGUAAAGUAAUCUUUGAAUAAAGCAAUAGAAUAUUUCGCAACGUUUCGAGAAACUUAGAAUAUAAAAUAAUAUAUACUUUUAGUCAAACAUAUUCGCGCAAAGGUGAUAUGUCAAAAGGGAAACAGCCCAGACUGCUAGUUAAGGUGUUUAAUGUUUAGUAAGUCAAAAGGAGUUAAAUUAAUAUAUUACUUAGGGGAUAGGCUUGGAAGCAGCCAUUCAUUAAAAAAAGAGUAACAGCUUACUGAGUAAAUAUACUAUAAUGAUAAAAUAUAGAAGAAUUAAUUAGAUUUCGAUAAUGUAUAGACGUUUAACUAAACAACCGAAACUUCAGAAGUAAUAAAAUCAAAUUUUACUUGGUAGCAGAGUGUUUUGUAUUUUGAUGAAGAAAAAUUGUUAAAUUUUUUUGAAAAACCAAAAUUAAUUAUACUAGCAUUAGUAACGUUAAAUAACGUAAAAUUCGUUAUCGUCGUAAACUCUAAAGUUUCAUCUCAAGGGAAAUCCGAGAUGUAAGUGACCCGUCUCUUAAAAAAAGAUUAAAAUCGUAUGUUUGAAGAGAUACUUUCCGUUAUGACUUUUUACUACUUGGAGGAAAUAAUAAUUUUAUUUAUUAAAUUAUUUUUAGUAUUAUAUUUUAUAUAGUUAAACCUUUAUAUAUAUAAAAUGCUAAAAUCUAGUUUACGAGUGUUUACAUUCGCGCUUCUUUAAUCUUAUUUCGUACUUACAUCGUUAGGUGCGCGGCAUGUGUUAAAUUAUGUAAAGCGACUAAACUAGAGAUAGACUUAGGUGACAACUGGAGGUUUCUUUAACAAAAGUUAGAAAAGGUAAAAACUAGAAAAAAAACGGAUCUGGAUCCGACGAAGCGUAUACUUUUAAAUAAUAAAGUACUUAUCAUAGAGUUUUUUGUUUGAGAAAAUGAAUUAUAAAGUGGUAAGGAAACGUUAUUUAAGGGUAGCAGUUACCUCAGUUAUGGGGAAUUGUGUAGGGUCCUGUUUACUGAAUAAAAUCCAACACAGGUGAGUGGGUAGAAUAUACUAAGACGAUGGAAGAAUAUAAUUGAAGGAAUUCGGCAAAAUGACUCUGUAACUUAGGAAGAAGGAGGGCAAAUUUUAAUAAGAUUUUUAUUAAUUAUGGUUUAUCUAAAAAACAUUAAUAAACGUUUUAAUUUGUAACUAAAAAGAGGAGGUGGCGACUGUUUACUAAAAACACAGGACUCUGCUAAAUUUUAUAAUGAUGUAUAGAGUCUGACGCCUGCCCAGUGCUGCAAGAUAAAAAAUUAUAAGUCUAGCUUAUUGAUUUAAGUCCCAGUAAACGGCGGCUGUAACCCUGACGGUCCGAAGGUAGCGAAAUUCAUUGGCGGGUAAGUUCCGUCCUGCAUGAAUGGCGUAACGACUGCCUCACUGUCUCCAGUUAUAAUCCAGUGAAAUUGAAUACUAGGUGAAAAUGCCUAAUAAGAACAGCGGGACGGAAAGACCCUAUGCACCUUUACUAGAACCUUGUAUUAAAUUAACUUUAAUCUAUUAAACGGUAGAAGAUUCUUUCUUCGUUUACCGUUUUGAUUUAAAUUUAAUUUUAAAUAGGCAUUAAAAGCCGACUAAAUUAGUCGAGAUUAUACUAUAAUAUUGCAAGGAUGCUAGUUUUACUGGGGCGGUAACCUCCUAAAAAGUAACGGGGGUGUGCAAAGGUUUAAUCAAGCAUAUUAUUAUGCGUACAUUACAAUGAAUAAAAUUAAGCUUGAUUUUUAAAUAUACUGAUUUAAAAAGGGUGAAGAAAUUUGCCUGCCAUAGUGAUCCGAUAAAUUUGCUUGAUAAAGUUAUCGAUUAACGAAUAAAAGGUACGCUAGGGAUAACAGGCUAAUAACUCCUAAGAGUUCCCAUCGACGGAGUUGGUUGGCACCUCGAUGUCGGCUCAUCAUAUCCUGGUUGAGAACAAUCUUCCAAGGGUCGGCCUGUUCUGCCGUUAAAAUGGUACGUGAGCUGGGUUUAGAACGUCGUGAGACAGUUUGGUCCCUAUCUGCUGUUAAAUAGAAAAACGAUAGAUCCUUGCUUUAGUACGAGAGGACUGAGGUAGAUUAAUCAAUGGUUUAACAAUUGUUUAGAAGUAGGCAUGUUGAUAGGCUACAUUAAGACAAGAUAAUUACUGAAUUCAAUUUUAAGUAAGAAGCUUAUCUAUAAAUUUUUCGUAUAAGUAAAUUAAAGAACAUAAUUUAGCAAUAUUUUUUAAAUGAACUAAACGUAAAUUUUGGAGUUUAAAAUAAUGUAAAACUCAAAUCUUAAAAAU